GCCAACACCGAUUCAUUUGAACAUAGGAGUGCUGUUUGUUUACUCAGCCUGAUUGAUGGGGGAAUAAGCAAGUACUGUCAUUACUUCUAGACUGAUUACCUGGCUUCCUUCGGAUUUAUGUACCAUGGUUGCAGACUGGCAGUAAGAGAGAGCACUGUCUGCGCUCAGGCUUGCCUUGGAGAAGACUUGGUGAAAAGAGAGACUUAUGGGCUGGGGAAGUUGGUUCCAGAUGGUGAAAGAAAAGACCUUGCCCAAUCCCUCUUGCCUCUUCCCUCUAUUCAGUGAGAAUGUUUCCCAACGUGGAGAUGGUAAUACAAUUAAAUGAAAAUCUUAUCUUGCAUCA